rfam:Arabidopsis thaliana chromosome 3, complete sequence.
AGGGAUCAAGUGAUGAUUGAUAACGCAUAGUUCAGAUGAUAAAUUCUAUUAUGAUUAACAUCUUCAGCAUAGUCUUUCGCUCCUAUCUGAUGACCCUU